UUGGCAUUCUUGUCCAUCAUCCUUCUCUUCUACUUCCAAGAUUUCUAGCUUUUUUCUCAAAAAAAUGUCGACGACAAUUGUAUUCAAGUAUGCAGAGUGUCCCGAAAAAAAAUGGAGGAAAGGAUUCAAGUGUUUGGUUUGUUUCCCAGGAGUUGAAACUUCAUGUUGUGAUAUCGUACCAAACCAUUUUGCAGUGAAGGGACAAAAUAUUGAUCAAGAACAACUAUUGGAGAAAUUGAACACGAUCCUUGAAAAUGUCGUAAUCAUUGAUCAUUCGGCAUACCCUGCUGAUCAUUUUUUUGUGCCUUCUGAAGUCAUGAACAAAAGUCCCGACUUUGUUGUAACUAUUUAGACAUAUAUAUGGUUUUUUUUCGUAUUAUUCUAUAAUAAAAGUUUGGACUUUUGUGUAAGUCUUUAGACAUAUACUAUAUGGUGAAAUUAAAUUAUAUUAUCCAUUCUUAAUUAUACUAA